rnacentral:rRNA from 1 species
GACAGAGGGUGCAAACGUUGCUCGGAAUCACUGGGCGUAAAGGGCGUGUAGGCGGGAAGGAAAGUCAGAUGUGAAAGCCCUGGGCUCAACCUGGGAACUGCAUUGGAAACUAACGGGCUCGAGUGUGGCAGAGGGGGGUGGAAUUCCACGUGUAGCAGUGAAAUGCGUAGAGAUGUGGAGGAACACCGAUGGCGAAGGCAGCCCCCUGGGCUAACACUGACGCUCAGGCACGAAAGCGUGGGGAGCAAACAGG